UUUUAUGGAGAGUUUGAUCCUGGCUCAGGAUGAACGCUGGCGGCGUGCCUAAUACAUGCAAGUCGAGCGAACGGACGAGAAGCUUGCUUCUCUGAUGUUAGCGGCGGACGGGUGAGUAACACGUGGAUAACCUACCUAUAAGACUGGGAUAACUUCGGGAAACCGGAGCUAAUACCGGAUAAU
rnacentral:rRNA from 1 species